rnacentral:rRNA from 1 species
AUAUCAAUAAGCGGAGGAAAAGAAACCAACAGGGAUUACCUCAGUAACGGCGAGUGAAGCGGUAACAGCUCAAAUUUGAAAGCUGCCAACAGGCCGCGUUGUAAUUUGUAGAAGCUGCUUUGGGUGUCGGCCCGGUCUAAGUUCCUUGGAACAGGACGUCAUAGAGGGUGAGAAUCCCGUCUUGGACCGGCGGUAGGGCCUAUGUAAAACUCCUUCGACGAGUCGAGUUGUUUGGGAAUGCAGCUCAAAAUGGGUGGUAAAUUUCAUCUAAAGCUAAAUAUUGGCCAGAGACCGAUAGCGCACAAGUAGAGUGAUCGAAAGAUGAAAAGCACUUUGAAAAGAGAGUUAAACAGUAUGUGAAAUUGUUGAAAGGGAAGCGCUUGCAACCAGACUUGAGCGCGGCGGUUCCCCUAGCCUUUUGGCUAGGUUACUCCGCCGUGUCCAGGCCAACAUCGGUUCUGAGGGUCGGUCAAAGGCCUUGGGAAUGUAUCUACCUACGGGUAGACUUAUAGACCAGGGUGUCAUGCGGCCUCUCGGGACCGAGGAACGCGCUUCGGCUCGGAUGUUGGCGUAAUGGUUGUCAGCGA